CAGUUCAACCGCUACAAGUGAAUUCGCAGUUUAGUGAACCAGUAAUUCUCGAUCGAAUAUAUUUAUUCACUAUUCAGAACCGGACUCAAUUCAUUAAGAAAUAGAGAUCUCUUUAUUUACCAAAUCGUACAUCACCAAUGAGAGCCUCUCGCGAAUACAACUAAUUAUCAUUUUGAGUUAUUUAAUUCAAAUAGUUUACUCUCAAUGCUCUAUAGAGGGACGAAAACCAUCGCGCGCUAAGAUGCGUUCAAUCAACGGACGUUUUAGCCAGUAUAACAUACGCUAGUAACGGAAGCACAAGUGUCCCUUAUAAGCCUUCAAAGUUUAAGUGAAUUCUCAAUUCUCAAUUGCGUAACAAAAAAUAUCUAUUGGUUUAAGUACAUCACCAGUGUUACGCUAAUUUAGCUGAAGAUAAUCACCAUUGUAAAAUUGUCUCAAAGACGCGAGGUCACGCCUCAAUAAUUUUUAAUAAAAUCAGUGCAUCCCCAAUAAGACUCCCGUGUCCCGUGAUCUUUAAUUUCCCCACCUAUCCCAAAUCACCACCGCAAACUCGUCUCCAUCUCAAACACAAAUAAAGUGUGGAAUUUUCAUUUUUCCCCCAAAUUGACUUCAAUAUCCCCGAUUGGAACAGUGAAAAGGGCAGAUGAGGAUUUGAGCUUUUGCGUCGUGAUUUAACGGCUGUGAAAAGAAACCUAGGCUCUUUAUUCCGUUCUUACAAUUAGAGCGUCGCACAUGUCCCAGGAAAGAUUUAUAUUUUACGAGCUCAUUACUGAAUAAAUUCCCGGAAAAAUUGAAUGAAGUCAUUCUGUUGGAAUUGACAAUUGAUCUGUGAAUUCUCACUUAUAUUAUCCAACGCCUGGAUAAUUGCCGAGGAUAAAUCGCCCACGCCUGAGACAGUGAACAAUGCGGUAAUUGAUGCUG